rnacentral:ncRNA from 20 species
CGUAGCCGAAGAUGACCGUCGGGUCGAGGGUCGGAUUGGUGACGGUGCGCACCUGGCCGGCCCACUGGUUGUUGUUGUCGAAGAACCAGGGGUCGUAGAUGCCGCCAAACCAGCAGGCCUUGGCCACCAGCAGGAAGCAACCGAUCCCAAGCAGGAUCAGGUGGAUGCCCAGGAUGGUGGUCAUCUUGUUCUUGUCUUUCCA